rnacentral:rRNA from 1 species
AGAGUUUGAUCCUGGCUCAGGAUGAACGCUGGCGGCAUGCCUAAGACAUGCAAGUCUAACGAAGUGGUCCAAUGAAGAUGGAGUGCUUGCACGAAAUCAGAUUUGGGUUGCCACUUAGUGGCGAAAGGGUGAGUAACACGUAGGUUAUCUACCUUUAAGACUGGAAUAACAAUUAGAAAUGAUUGCUAAUACCGGAUGAUAUAUAGAGUAAUACGUUACUUUAUAUUAAAAGGAGCCUUUAAAGCUUCACUUAAAG